rnacentral:rRNA from 1 species
AGAGUUUGAUCAUGGCUCAGAACGAACGUUGGCGGCGUGGAUUAGGCAUGCAAGUCGAACGAAUCCCACUGUUGUAGCAAUACAGUGGUGGGGGAAGUGGCGAAAGGGGCAGUAAGGCGUGGGUAACCUACCCCGGGGACGGGGAUAGCCAUUCUAACGAGUGGGUAAUACCUGGCGAUCUGGUUGAGGGGCAUCUCUUGGCCAGGAAAUGAAUUUCGCCUCGGGAGGGGCUCACGUGAUAUUAGCUAGUUGGUAGGGUGACGGCCUACCAAGGCAAAGAUGUCUAGCGGGUGUGAGAGCACGACCCGCGCCACUGGCACUGAGACACUGGCCAGACACCUACGGGUGGCUGCAGUCGAGGAUCUUCGGCAAUGAGCGCAAGCUUGACCGAGCGACGCCGCGUGGACGAUGAAGGCCUUCGGGUUGUAAAGUCCUGUCGAGGGGGAUAAAAGCGCAAGCUUGAUGAUCCCUGAGAAGCC